AUGCAUUUUAGCGUGACGUUUUCAGCUGUGUUGUCAGACCCCUUCAAUGAGGACAAACGGCAUUCGUAUCAGCUACCACAUGAAUGCCACAGGGCAGGAUAUAUCUCACUGUCCCAGCUUCUCUGUGGGCUCCUAAUGUUCUUGGCUCCAGGUUUGAGGGGUGAAAUUGUGCUGACCCAGUCUCCAGCCUCAGUGUCUGUGACCCCAGGAGAGAGAGUCACCAUCAGCUGCAAGGCCAGUCAGAGUGUCAAAGAUAGCAGUGGAAACAUUUAUCUACACUUGCUCCAACAGAAACCUGGACAGUCUCCUCAGGGCCUCAUUCACUAUGCUUCCAACCUGCACCCAGGAGUCCCUGCCAGGUUCAGUGGCAGUGGGGCUGAGACGGACUUCACCCUCACAAUCAGCAGUGUGGAGGCUGACAAUGGGGCCUAUUAUUACUGUUUUCAACAUUCUUUUCUCCCUCCCAUGGUGCUACAGCCCUGA